CGGAUCUGUAAGUCAGUGGUGAAAUCUCAUAGCUUAACUAUGAAACUGCCAUUGAUACUGCAGGUCUUGAGUAAAGUAGAAGUGGCUGGAAUAAGUAGUGUAGCGGUGAAAUGCAUAGAUAUUACUUAGAACACCAAUUGCGAAGGCAGGUCACUAUGUUUUAACUGACGCUGAUGGACGAAAGCGUGGGGAGCGAACAGGAUUAGAUACCCUGGUAGUCCACGCCGUAAACGAUGCUAACUCGUUUUUGGGUUUUCGGAUUCAGAGACUAAGCGAAAGUGAUAAGUUAGCCACCUGGGGAGUACGUUCGCAAGAAUGAAACUCAAAGGAAUUGACGGGGGCCCGCACAAGCGGUGGAUUAUGUGGUUUAAUUCGAUGAUACGCGAGGAACCUUACCAAGGCUUAAAUGGGAAUUGACAGGUUUAGAAAUAGACUUUUCUUCGGACAAUUUUCAAGGUGCUGCAUGGUUGUCGUCAGCUCGUGCCGUGAGGUGUUAGGUUAAGUCCUGCAACGAGCGCAACCCCUGUCACUAGUUGCCAUCAUUCAGUUGGGGACUCUAGUGAGACUGCCUACGCAAGUAGAGAGGAAGGUGGGGAUGACGUCAAAUCAUCACGGCCCUUACGCCUUGGGCCACACACGUAAUACAAUGGCCGGUACAGAGGGCAGCUACCUAGCGAUAGGAUGCGAAUCUCGAA
rnacentral:rRNA from 1 species